UAGAGUUUGAUCCUGGCUCAGAACGAACGUUGGCGGCGUGGAUUAGGCAUGCAAGUCGAACGAGAACCGGGUAGCAAUACCCGGGGAAAGUGGCGAAAGGGGCAGUAAGGCGUGGGUAACCUACCCUGGGGUUGGGCAUAGCCGGUCUAACGACCGGGUAAUUCCCAGCGACGUCAUUUGGGGGCAUCUCCGGAUGACCAAAGAUUUAUCGCCCCGGGAGGGGCCCACGUGAUAUUAGCUUGUUGGUGAGGUAACGGCUCACCAAGGCAAAGAUGUCUAGCGGGUGUGAGAGCACGACCCGCGCCACUGGCACUGAGACACUGGCCAGACUCCUACGGGAGGCUGCAGUCGAGGAUCUUCGGCAAUGGGCGCAAGCCUGACCGAGCGACGCCGCGUGUGCGAUGAAGGCCUUCGGGUUGUAAAGCACUGUCGAGGGGGAGGAAGCCGAAAGGUUGACCUAUCCCUGGAGGAAGCACGGGCUAAGUUCGUGCCAGCAGCCGCGGUAAGACGAACCGUGCAAACGUUGUUCGGAAUCACUGGGCUUAAAGGGCGCGUAGGCGGGCCAGCCAGUCUGUGGUGAAAGCCCCCGGCUUACCCGGGGAAGUGCCGUGGAUACUGCUGGCCUCGAGGAGGAUAGGGGCAUCUGGAACGGUCGGUGGAGCGGUGAAAUGCGUUGAUAUCGACCGGAACUCCGGUGGCGAAGGCGAGGUGCUGGGUCCUUUCUGACGCUGAUGCGCGAAAGCCAGGGGAGCAAACGGGAUUAGAUACCCCGGUAGUCCUGGCCCUAAACGUUGAGGACUAGGUAGUGGACUUAACAUGGGUUCACUGUCGGAGCAAAAGUGCUAAGUCCUCCGCCUGGGGAGUAUGGUCGCAAGACUGAAACUCAAAGGAAUUGACGGGGGCUCACACAAGCGGUGGAGCAUGUGGCUCAAUUCGAGGCUACGCGAAGAACCUUAUCCCGGGCUUGACAUGUCCGAAAGGGGUAGGAAGUAGGGAGCGGAAACGCCACCCGAACGGUAUCCAAUCCGGAACCUACCACAGGUGCUGCAUGGCUGUCGUCAGCUCGUGUCGUGAGAUGUCGGGUUAAGUCCCAUAACGAGCGAAACCCUUGUUUCCAGUUGCCAGCGAGUAAAGUCGGGGACUCUGGAAAGACUGCCGGUGUUAAACCGGAGGAAGGUGGGGAUGACGUCAAGUCCUCAUGGCCUUUAUGCCCGGGGCUGCACACGUGCUACAAUGGCGUGAACAAAGGGACGCAAACUCGCGAGAGGGAGCAAAUCCCAAAAAACACGCCCCAGUUCAGAUUGCAGGCUGCAACUCGCCUGCAUGAAGUUGGAAUCGCUAGUAAUCGCGGGUCAGCAACACCGCGGUGAAUGUGUUCCUGAGCCUUGUAUACACCGCCCGUCAAGCCACGAAAGGGAGGGACGUCCGAAGUCGCCUUUGCCGGUGCCGAAGACGGACUUCCUGAUUGGGACUAAGUCGUAACAAGGUAACCGUA
rnacentral:rRNA from 1 species